UCGGAUUGGAGUCUGCAACUCGACUCCAUGAAGGUGGAAUCGCUAGUAAUCGCGGAUCAGCAUGCCGCGGUGAAUACGUUCCCGGGCCUUGUACACACCGCCCGUCACACCACGAAAGUCGGUAACACCCGAAGUCAGUGGCCCAACCCUCGGGAGGGAGCUGCCGAAGGUGGGAUCGGCGAUUGGGGUGAAGUCGUAACAAGGUAGCCGUACCGGAAGGUGCGGCUGGAUCACCUCCUNNUGGCA
rnacentral:rRNA from 1 species